UAGCGGAUCAUGACUCUCCUAGGUGUCAGCCAUAACAGUACAGGGGCUAGGUGUGUGGUUUGGGGGUUUUUCCCAGUAAGGGUAAGUCUGUGAUGAAAGGAUGAAAGGAGAGAGUACAGCCUGAUUUCUGAUAAAAAUGAUUGUCUGGGGCUCCAGUCACCACGCUAGGGACUGUUUAGGAGUGUCAGCUAUAAUGGAAUCAAUUAAAGUAGCGAGCAGUCCAGUGGCUUCCUGGCUGAAUUUUGAAUGACCUGGAAAAGGACAGAGAUCUAAACUGCUCUCUGAUCCAUGAUGUCAUAGACAGAGUGUUGUGCUUAAAGUAAGGAAGACCUAGGUUUGGAUGCUAUCUCGGUAGACUGUCUCAAUGGCCUCUGAUACAAAAUGGAGACAAUUCAACUAAUCUCAUGGGACUGUAAUGAGGUUCAAAUGAAGAAAUACAUGAAAAGACUGCAGAUUUUAAAGAGAUGCAUCAGUACUUCCUUUGAACCUCAAAACAACCCCUGGAAACACGUACUAAUGGCAUGAUUACAUACAUGGGUGGGAGAAUAUUAUACGUGUGUCUAAAGGGAUUACAAUAACAAGAUCUAACAUGAGUAUACCUCUUUGAGGUUUGCAAAGGACUUUGUGGACAUCUUACUUUAUCUUCACAAUAAUCCUGUGAGUUUCUUCAAAGACCCUGACUGACCUUUUUGAUCACCAACCAAUCUGGCUCUCCUGAAAGCUACGCCUGUACCCCGGAUCCUCCACGAGGACACGGCUUCUCAGUUGCUUCUAGGGUAAAAGCUCUCACGGGAGUCACCCAGAUGCCAGAUUCCACCAUCACCCCAGCAACCAUCCCAGCCUGAUGCUCUGGACACUGUCUACAGUCAAUGCCUCUCUCUCCUAAGCACCUCUCUACACCCAUUCUCAGCUCUGAAGAAGUUACAGAAGACAGAAGGCCAACCCUUUUUCCCUUACAUAUUAGGAGAGGUGGAGAUGACAUGGGCACUGUACCCCCAGAAACCCAGGCCAACUGUUAUCAGGGAAACUCCCUUGCCUUUGCAUCCUUGUGGCUCUUAACCUAGAAACACCCAAUGACCCCACCCAGGGUCCUGAGAUGUUUACCCUCUUUUGUCCUCUAGAUUUAAGGUGGACAAAGAAAUGAAUCUUGAUGCCUCCAGGCAGACCCCAAUCAGAUGACCACCCCACCCCACCAAAUGCCUGAGGGACUAACAUCCUGGUCAUGUCCACACCAGGACAUAGCAUCUAAAGAGUAUAUAAUCCCCAGAACUGAUGUGCUCUGGGGGAUAGCCUCUCCAUCCAUACUGUCCCCAGGGGGGAACUGCCUUUCCUUUAAUGCUGUCCUCCCAGGGAACUGCUCCCCAUCUUGCUGUUCUACCUUGCUAUCCUCCUGGCCACUCUCAACAUUACUCUCUAAAUUAAUAAAUCUCUUUUUGUUUUUAAGCUAA